UACGAAGGGGGCUAGCGUUGUUCGGAAUUACUGGGCGUAAAGCGCGCGCAGGCGGGUCAUCAAGUCAGAGGUGAAAUCCCAGGGCUCAACUCUGGAACUGCCUUUGAAACUGGCGAGCUUGAGUACGGGAGAGGUGAGUGGAAUUCCCAGUGUAGAGGUGAAAUGCGUAGAUAUUGGGAGGAACACCAGUGGCGAAGGCGGCUCCCUGGCCCGUAACUGACGCUGAGGCGCGAUAGCGUGGGGAGCAAACAGG
rnacentral:rRNA from 1 species